AUGCAGGUUUCCCCAACUGACACAAACCGUGCAAUCUGAAACUCCGCCUGGUCUUUCCAGGUCUAGAGGGGUGACACUUUGUACUGUGCAUGACUCCACGUUCGAUCCACUGGCGAGUGCUAGUAGUAGUACUGCUGUUUCGUAGCGGAACACGACGGCCGUGGGACUCCCCCCUUGGUAACAAGGACCCGCGGGGCCAAAAGCCACGUCUCUGACCCGUCGUGUGUGCAAACCCAGCACAGCAGCUUUACUGCGAAAACCACUUUAAGGUGACAUUGAUACUGGUACUCACGCACUGGUGACAGGCUAAGGAUGCCCUUCAGGUACCCCGAGGCAACAAGCGACACUCGGGAUCUGAGAAGGGGACUGGGGCUUCUGUAAAAGCGCCCAGUUUAAAAAGCUUCUAUGCCUGAAUAGGUGACCGGAGGCCGGCACCUUUCCCUCUACUACCACUGACUC
rnacentral:other from 19 species